UGCGUAGGCGGCCUGGCAAGUUGGGUGUGAAAGCCCUCGGCUCAACCGAGGAAUUGCGCUCAAAACUGCUAGGCUUGAGGGAGGUAGAGGUAAGCGGAACUAAUGGUGGAGCGGUGAAAUGCGUUGAUAUCAUUAGGAACACCUGAGGCGAAAGCAGCUUACUGGGCCUCUUCUGACGCUGAGGCACGAAAGCUAGGGGAGCGAACG
rnacentral:rRNA from 1 species